GACAGAGGGUGCAAACGUUGUUCGGAAUUACUGGGUGUAAAGCGCGUGUAGGCGGCUCUGUAAGUCGGGUGUGAAAUCCCACGGCUCAACCGUGGAAGUGCACUCGAAACUACAGGGCUAGAGUCCUGGAGAGGAAGGUGGAAUGCUUGGUGUAGAGGUGAAAUUCGUAGAUAUCAAGCGGAACACCGGUGGCGAAGGCGGCCUUCUGGACAGUGACUGACGCUGAGA
rnacentral:rRNA from 1 species